UACGUAGGGGGCAAGCGUUGUCCGGAAUCAUUGGGCGUAAAGCGCGUGUAGGCGGCCCAGUAAGUCCGCUCUGAAAGCCCGGGGCUUAACCCCGGGAGGCGGGUGGAUACUGCUGGGCUCGAGUCCGGAAGGGGCGAGUGGAAUUCCUGGUGUAGCGGUGAAAUGCGCAGAUAUCAGGAGGAACACCAAUGGCGAAGGCAGCUCGCUGGGACGUGACUGACGCUGAGACGCGAAAGCGUGGGGAGCAAACAGG
rnacentral:rRNA from 1 species